GACGAACGCUGGCGGCGUGCUUAACACAUGCAAGUCGAACGGAAAGGCCCUGCUCUUGCGGGGUGCUCGAGUGGCGAACGGGUGAGUAACACGUGAGUAACCCGCCCCUGUCUUUGGGAUAACUUCAGGAGACUGCGGCUAAUACCCGAUAGAAGCUCCUGCUCCAUGGUGGGGGUUGGAAAGUUUCGGCGGUUGGGGAUGGAUUCGCGGCUUACCAGCUUGUUGGUGUGGUAGUAGCUUACCAAGGCUUUGACGGGUAGCCCGCCUGAGUGGGUGACCGGCGGCAUAGGGACUGAGAUAGGGGCCAGACUCCUACGGGAGGCAGUAGUGGGGACUCUUGCAGAAUAGGCGGGAGCCUGAUAAACCAGCGCCGCGAGCGCAAUGAUGCGCUACGAGGUGUAAACCGCUUUCGCAUGUGAAAAAGCCUGAGUGACGGUAAUGGAUAAAGAAGCACCGGCUAACUACGUG
rnacentral:rRNA from 1 species